GACGAACCGAGCGAACGUUGUUCGGAAUCACUGGGCUUAAAGGGCUCGUAGGCGGCCAACUAAGUCAGACGUGAAAUCCCUCGGCUUAACCGGGGAACUGCAUCUGAUACUGGAUGGCUUGAGUUCGGGAGAGGGAUGCGGAAUUCCAGGUGUAGCGGUGAAAUGCGUAGAUAUCUGGAGGAACACCGGUGGCGAAGGCGGCAUCCUGGACCGACACUGACGCUGAGGAGCGAAAGCCAGGGGAGCAAACGGG
rnacentral:rRNA from 1 species